UUUGUGUUUGUUGUGGCAACAAAAGUACUUAGUUAGGCUUAGCAAAAAGGUCGACUUGGUUGGGCUUAGGCAACAAAACUACAUUAGGUUUAGGAA